rnacentral:rRNA from 1 species
GCGACCCCAGGAUGGGCGAGNCCACCCGCUGAAUUUAAG